GACGAACGCUGGCGGCGUGCUUAACACAUGCAAGUCGAACGGAGUUACGUAUGAAGUAUUUCGGUACGGACUACAUAACUUAGUGGCGAACGGGUGAGUAACACGUGGGCAACCUGCCCUUAACCGGGGGAUAACAUUGUGAAAACAGUGCUAAUACCGCAUAACAGAGUAUCGGGCAUCCGAUAUUUUAAAAGGAGCAAUCCGGUUUAGGAUGGGCCCGCGUCCAAUUAGCUAGUUGGUGAGGUAACGGCUCACCAAGGCGACGAUGGGUAGCCGGCCUGAGAGGGUGGACGGCCACACUGGGACUGAGACACGGCCCAGACUCCUACGGGAGGCAGCAGUCGGGAAUCUUCCACAAUGGGCGAAAGCCUGAUGGAGCGACGCCGCGUGAGGGAUGAAGGUCUUCGGAUCGUAAACCUCUGUCCUCAGGGACGAUAAUGACGGUACCUGAGGAGGAAGCCACGGCUAACUACGUG
rnacentral:rRNA from 1 species